UUGAUUUCAUUAUUAUCAAUUAUAGUUUUGAGUCGAAGCAUCAAUUCAGAUACUGAGGGGGUACCUUCCAGCCUUGAAUAAUGAAAAUUUCUAAUUAAAACACUUGUAUGCAGAUUUUGUCUCCUUAAUCCUAUAAAUGAAAAUAUUGUGUACAUCUUACCUUCCCACUAUAGUCAUCCUGUUCUCUUUCAAAACAAUUAGAGCGAGGAAUGGAUAAGUACCGGACUUCAGUGCUUCGGCUACUUUGUAACCUUCGCCAGAUUUUAUAUUACAAGCCCAGAAUAGUGUGUGAGUGUUGAUAAAACGAAUUAGCUCUGUAUUAGUCAAAGAAAUCCUAUUGAAAUUGAGUGAGUGAAAAAACAAUGACAUGACAUUAAUAAGUAUUCAACAACAGUGAAAAUGUCAUACCUUUUUAUUUAUUUAUUUAUUUUUUAAAUUGCAUACCUGCACCAUUGAUCGACACUCUGGACAUCAUCUUUGUGGAGAUAAACGAGUAGGAAUCUCAACUCUUGUUUAGCAUCAGAAAGUGCUUGACUGUACGAUCCCUGAUAGAAUACUGGAUGAUUCAUACCGUAUCUCUCUUCAAAUGAACUUAUAAAUCUUACUACAUCUUGGACAGGAUCAGCAGAUACUAUUAUUAUAAGAGCUUCCUGAUGGGCUGAAAUAAAUUCUCGAAUUGGUAUCGUCGACAACAGCUGGUGGCCUCGCUCUCGAGUCUUGUGCAUACAUCGAUGGUCUGCCUUCAUACAAAUUGAGUUGCUCCUACGUACAAGGUACAACAAAAAAUUACACGAAAAAACUUGAGUUCGUAGAUGAUGCAUGAAAAGCAUGAAAAGAAUGAAAAUUGUAAAAAUUUCAUACCUGAACUGCAACCUCCAAGUUCCAAUUGUGCCUCUGCAGAACAUCACGACAAAUUGAGAGAUCUUCAAUUCCCGUCAAAUCCUUGAUGAAAAUUAAUAAAUGAGUAUGCAUAUUUAAGGAUAAAAAGUUGGAAAACAAUUUCGUGGUCUACCUGAAAUUGAAGAACUUUUUCCGUUUGAUCACUGUUGAGUUCACCGAGUGCAUUAUCAGCCAUUUUACUGUUUUUUUUUUUCAAGCGUAUUAUAAUAUUAAUUUGAACAAUAAAAAAGACGAUUUAUACCCGACACAUAUA